GGAGGGAUAAGCUCAAUAGGUCAGAGCUCGGCGGGUGACAACCGCCGGGAGGCUGGUUCAAUUCCAGCUCCCUCCACCA
rnacentral:tRNA from 1 species